GGAAGACUGAGCCCAGCUGUGGUGGUGGAGCAGCAAGAGCACUGCUGAAACAGGGCUGCAAAGGCAGUAGAAGGAAGAGAACUCUAGAGAGAUAAACAAAGGGAGUCAGGCUGAGUCACCCACAGGGAGCAGGGUAGGCUCCUGGGGGUUGUGAGCUCAUAGUGAGCAGUGAGCUCCUCAGAGCUAAACUACUGGAGUUGCUGGGAAGCAGUGGGGGAAUCCUGCUGGGGAAGAAAUGGUUCAAGAAAAUCUCUGCAGGGACCAGGAAGCAGAGGACUUCAAGCCUGAGAAGGGCAGAAGAACUCAAUUUCAGCAGCAAACCAAACACUAAAUGGGGCCUGGAGACUGAACUACCCAAUACGCCCUAGAACGGCUACUUCCAGGUGACGUGUAACUUCUGGGUCUGACUUUUUUUCAACUCCAUCAUUCAGAGCUGGAAGAUAAUCUUUUAUGGUCAUACAUGUAUCGAGAACUUUUUCAUUCAUAAGAAGCAAAAUAAAUAGCUGC